UUUCCGUAGGUGAACCUGCGGAAGGAUCAUUAAAGAGAAUAUGCCCUUCGGGUAGAUCUCCCACCCUUUGUUUAUCUUACCUUUGUUGCUUUGGCAGGCCCGUCUUCGGACCACCGGCUUCGGCUGGUCAGUGCUUGCCAGAGGACCCAAAACUCUUAUUAUUAAUGUCGUCUGAGUACUAUAUAAUAGUUAAAACUUUCAACAACGGAUCUCUUGGUUCUG
rnacentral:misc_RNA from 1 species